UGGGGUAUAGCUCAGUUGGUAGAGUGCUUGCCUUGCAUGCACAAAGCCCUGGGUUCAAUCCCCAGCAACACAC
rnacentral:tRNA from 1 species